AUCCCGUACGAUUACCGAAGUUAAGCAACGUCAAGCCUGAUCAGUACCUAGAUGGGUGAACACUUGGGAAUAUAUGGUGCUAU